CAAUUGCGCAUGUGCAAAGUCUCCGCUAGCUUGUUUGCUGUUAUUUAAAAUCGAAAUUAUCAGAGUCAGAAAACUUUACUAAUCCCCGAAGGCGAUUUGAGUCAUCAUAGCAACAACGCGUUCAAAGUCCAACAAAAAAGUACUUAGCAGCAACUUGUUCAAGGUGGUAUUUUUAAAGGGCUAACUUGUGGUGUCCCUGUUGCUGUGGCGGUGGGAGCAUCUGUUCACCCUGCAGGGAAGUCCAGGAACUCCUCGCUGAGGAGACUUCGCUGGGGGAGGUGGACUCCAGCCCUCCUCUUUCUCCUCUUCCCCCGUCCCCUCCUCUUCUCUUUUUAUCUGCUUGU